CCUACGGGAGGCAGCAGUGAGGAAUAUUGGUCAAUGGACGCGAGUCUGAACCAGCCAAGUAGCGUGAAGGAUGAAUGCCCUACGGGUUGUAAACUUCUUUUAUAAGGGAAUAAAGUGAGCCACGUGUGGCAUUUUGUAUGUAUUUUAUGAAUAAGGAUCGGCUAACUCAGUGCCAGCAGCCGCGGUAAUACGGAGGAUCCGAGCGUUAUCCGGAUUUAUUGGGUUUAAAGGGAGCGUAGAUGGGUUGUUAAGUCAGUUGUGAAAGUUUGCGGCUCAACCGUAAAAUUGCAAUUGAUACUGGCAGCCUUGAGUACAGUAGAGGUAGGCGGAAUUCGUGGUGUAGCGGUGAAAUGCUUAGAUAUCACGAAGAACUCCGAUUGCGAAGGCAGCCUACUAGACUGCCACUGACAUUGAGGCUCGAAAGUGUGGGUAUCAAACAGGAUUAGAUACCCGAGUAGUC
rnacentral:rRNA from 1 species